CUCUGGGUAGUACAAACGGUUAAUGCGCUCAGCUGCUAACUGAAAGAUUGGAGGUUCAAAUCCACCCAGAGG
rnacentral:tRNA from 1 species